AGAACUCUAUGUAUUUGUAGAUGCAGGUGGCAAUGCCCAUAGCGACGAUAGCGUAAUACCAGGAGCAGAUGAACAUCAGAGACAGACACAGACUCAUACCAAGGAAGGACAGUGCCCUGCGGGAGACAACAACAUUGCAUGUUUCCGUUUAACAGAGAAUUUCUGUUAAUAUUUGCUCUUGUUUUGUCUACAGGAGGGUUUUAGACGAGACAAAGCAGGAAGACGUGGUCACAGUCAGAGCUCUAAUUUUCAUUGCAUCUGGUAUACAUUUUGCUACUUUAAACAGGAUAAACUACUACUACAGAUAUUAGAACCCUGGAGGCGCGUCCAAUACCUCUCCUAAAUAAUGCUGACAUGUAUUAGUUGUGUUCAAAAUAAAGCAUCAAGUUAAACUCACCAAUGAUAGAACUUAAAUCGUGGCCUCCAGUUUGGGGUCCUCAGCAAAGUCUGCAGUGCACAUGCAAGAUUGACGAACAUGUAGCACAUCAAGAAAAACCUACAGAGGUAAUAGAUGAGAAAAGGUUGGAAAAGUGAGGGAGAUGUUUAUGUGAACCUCUGCUGGAUUUACAUGGAGAGGAUGGGCGCUACGGCAUCCAGGGAGGCGAUGAUGAUCCCAAUCUCACAGAUGCUUGCUGUGAGCAGGAGGGCCCAGGUUGGCUCUCCGUUUGCUUUACCGUGUCCAAAUACCUACAGAAAAACAAUACAAUUAAGUGUUUUUCAUAUUUGUCUUGAGCUGUGUGUCACUAUUUACUCGCAGAAAUGGUAUGAUGCCAUCUCUGGCAAUGGCCUGCAGGAGACGAGGGGCUCCAGUGAGACUCUGAAGUCCAGCUCCGCAUGUGGAGAAGAAGGAGCCAAACACGAUGACCCAAGGAGAUGGCCAUGCCAGGGUCCCGAUCACCAGAUUACCAUUAACGCCUUCACCAAAUCUGACACAGAUAUAUAUACAAUACAAUAUUACUAUACAAUUACAUUGUGCAGGUACACAAACUUGUACUCACUUGUCCCUUAGCACUACUCCUUCAAUACAGGCACCAAACAGAACCACACAUGACAUGUCUGGUCAUAUAACAGUCAAGAAACGCACCUUUCACUGUGCCUUAAAAGCACCCAGAGACUUGUAUGCUGUUUGUAAUAUAAUAUUGCUUAAUUUACAUGAAAUCAUCAUCACAAAGGAUACACACUGUAGAAGUGGUGGUGAUGGCUGCAAUGGUGCCAAUGGGAAUGGACUUCUGAGCGUCACGAAGGUCUCCUGAGCGAGGGGAAGUAAAUCCCCACCAGUAGCGUAAAGAAGCUGGUGAUGUCGGCCAGGACAAAGCGGUUGGAGCCAGCAGGGGCUGGGCUGUCUGGAUCGUCUUCUGAGGCAACGCCACGCUUCUCCAAGAUCAUUCCUUUCUCCAGUGGAAGGAACUGACGGGAAAACGGGAGGCUCGAUGACAGUCUUGAUGACCCCGGCGUAGACAGCCACGAUAGAGAGGAUCACGCAGGCCAGGAAAACCAGCGCCAACUUGUUGACAUAUUUCACCCCAACAAACACCACCAAGGCCAUGAAGCUGAGGACGAUGGUCCCGUAAACCCGCAUGUUAUUAAGAAGCGCCACCUCGGCCUCUGGCCCCUCCAGGCCCUCAAUCUUAAAGAUGGCUGCCUGGGAAUUUCAAUACAGCCCAGGAUGUACAUGGCGCCUGCAAAAGUGGUUCCCAAAUAAAAGCAGAUUCCGACAGCUCCUCCAAACUCGGGUCCCAGAGAGCGAGAGAUCAUGUAAUACGACCCUCCAGCUGACAGAAGAAGAAGGAGAGCGCAUAAUGGAGCAGCACAUGAAGACAAUGAUGAAAGAUCCCAAAACACCUCCAACCCCGACCAUCCAGGUCAUCCUCAGGAAAAGGAUCACCCCGAAAAUAUUCUGGAUACAUGAUAUCCCACCAAGUGGUGAGUCAGAAGCUUCUCUUGCCCAAAAUGAAGGUCAUGAAGAUUGGAGUAGUUUGCCAAAGUGCUGAGCAGAGACGAGACCAUCGGACUGGUGUCCAUCUCCUCCUGUGUCC